rnacentral:rRNA from 1 species
GACAGAGGCCUCGAGCGUUAGGCGGAAUCACUGGGCUUAAAGCGUGUGUAGGCGGGCCCCUAAGUACCUUGUGAAAUCCCACGGCUCACCCGUGGAACCGCUGGGUAUACUGAGGGCCUUGGGCCACUCAGGGGCGACUGGAACAAGCGGUGGAGCGGUGAAAUGCGUAGAUAUCGCUUGGAACGCCGACGGUGAAAACAGGUCGCUGGGAGUGCGCCGACGCUGAGACACGAAAGCCAGGGGAGCAAACGGG